UACGUAGGGUGCAAGCGUUGUCCGGAAUUAUUGGGCGUAAAGAGCUCGUAGGCGGUUUGUUGCGUCGGCUGUGAAAUCCCGAGGCUCAACCUCGGGUCUGCAGUCGAUACGAGCAAACUAGAGUGUUGCAGGGGAGACUGGAAUUCCUGGUGUAGCGGUGAAAUGCGCGGAUAUCAGGAGGAACACCGGUGGCGAAGGCGGGUCUCUGGGCAACAACUGACGCUGAGGAGCGAAAGUGUGGGGAGCGAACAGG
rnacentral:rRNA from 1 species